rnacentral:ncRNA from 1 species
GAAAUCUCAUAAAGAAAGAGAAGUUAAAUUUAUUUAGUUACUUAAUGUAAUGCGAGUGUUACAUACAUUAAUAUCAAAUAGUGUUUAGUAGUAAUGAAGAUUAAAAAGAUGAAUUCUUUUCGAUGUGGUUCAGCAUGAGAAAUCGGCGAAUAGCGUGCCAGCAGCUGCGGUUAAACGAGUGAUUUUUUAAGUUUUUAUGAUUUAUGGAUGUGAUUUUAGUUUGGGGGAAUUAAUUGGUUGGAUUGGUGAAAUAAUUAUAAUUUGCUUGGAAUCUUUCUUGUUUGCAUGCUGGAAGGUAGUGAGUGAAACCAGGAUUAGAUACCCUGUUAUUAUUAUUGUAUGGUAGGUUGAAGUAGUGAGAGGUGAGCUUGAAACUUAAGAAUUUUGGCGGUCUUUUUUAUCUUUCUAGAGGAAUUUGCUCUUUAAUCGAUAGUCCGCGUUUAAUUUUACUUGGUUGGGGUUUGUAUACCGCUGUUUAUAAUGUUUUUGUAUAGAAUGUUGGUGAAGGGGUCUCAGUAAAUCAAGUCAAGGUGCAGCUUUUAAUUGAGGUUGAAGUGAAUUACUAGUUGGAUUUUUUUAUUGAAAUAUUAAAAUGAGAUAGGAUUUAGAAGUAAUUGAGAAUUAGAAUGUUGAAAUGAAGGUAGUUUGAGAAAGAUGUACAUAUCGCCCGUCACUCUCGGUGUGUGAAUUGAGAUAAGUCGUAACAAAGUAGGCGCAUUGGAAAAUGCGCCUAAGUG